rnacentral:rRNA from 1 species
GUGUUGAGGAAGAUAAUGACGGUACUCAACAAGGAAGUGACGGCUAACUACGUGCCAGCAGCCGCGGUAAAACGUAGGUCACAAGCGUUGUCCGGAAUUACUGGGUGUAAAGGGAGCGCAGGCGGGAAGACAAGUUGGAAGUGAAAUCCAUGGGCUCAACCCAUGAACUGCUUUCAAAACUGUUUUUCUUGAGUAGUGCAGAGGUAGGCGGAAUUCCCGGUGUAGCGGUGGAAUGCGUAGAUAUCGGGAGGAACACCAGUGGCGAAGGCGGCCUACUGGGCACCAACUGACGCUGAGGCUCGAAAGUGUGGGUAGCAAACAGGAUUAGAUACCCUGGUAGUCCACACYGUAAACGAUGAUUACUAGGUGUUGGAGGAUUGACCCCUUCAGUGCCGCAGUUAACACAAUAAGUAAUCCACCUGGGGAGUACGACCGCAAGGUUGAAACUCAAAGGAAUUGACGGGGGCCCGCACAAGCAGUGGAGUAUGUGGUUUAAUUCGACGCAACGCGAAGAACCUUACCAAGUCUUGACAUCCCUUGACGAUGCUGGAAACAGUAUUUCUCUUCGGAGCAAGGAGACAGGUGGUGCAUGGUUGUYGUCAGCUCGUGUCGUGAGAUGUUGGGUUAAGUCCCGCAACGAGCGCAACCCUUAUGGUCAGUUACUACGCAAGAGGACUCUGGCCAGACUGCCGUUGACAAA